CUGAACUGAACUGAACCUCUAAUUCAUAGAAGCUAUUUCCACUGCUUUUAACAUUUUCUUAGGUUACCAAGAAAAACAGUGAGUUCAUUUUCACAUGAAUCAGUUUGAACUGAUGGAUUAGAGAGUAAAGAAUCCACCUGCAAUGCAGGAGACGCAGGUUUGAUCCCUGCAUCAAAAAGAUCCCCUGGAGAAGAAAAUGGCAACCCUCCCCAAUACUCUUGCCUGGAGAAUCCCAUGGACAGAGGAGCCUGGUGGGCUACAGUCCAUGGGGUCUCAAAGAGUCGGACAGGACUGAGCAGCUAAACAACUUGACAUUAACAUCGUGCUCCAUGCUGCUCCAUGCUGCAUGCAUAGAAAUGAUCAUUCCAGUCAGAUGAGAACACAGAGAUGCAGGAAAUGAAGUCUGUGCUCUGGAAGAAUCUGUGUGAAUGAAUCCUGGAACUGGACUCGACUGUGCAGACAUCAUCUUAUCAACCACAAGCAAGCCUGGGGACUGGAGAUCAUGACUCUAUGAGGAGAAAAUUAUUAUAUGAACCACAGCACUUGCAUGCUAGGUCGCUUCUGUCAGGUCUGACUCUGCAACACUAUGGACUAUAGCCCACUAGGAUCCUCUGUUCAUGGGAUUCUCCAGAGACUGAAACCCUCACCAGGUGGAAGAAGUUAACUACAUGCUGAUCAGACUGUAGCCAUCACAUAAGCUGCCACAAUUCUGAGAACUAACCUCAAGAAAUGGAAACAAACCGACCCUGGAACUGAAGAUUAACUGCACUUGAAACCAUCAGGAUAAUGCUGGUCAGACCAUCGAAGACCCAGUUCAAGAAGACUAUCAGAGCUGACUGUUGUUUCUGCAUGUAGCCCCUUCCCUCCGUCUAUAAAAGCCCUUGCCCCCUGGUUGUGGGUUGGGAGAGUCCACCUUUGGACAAGCGUCUGCCCUCCCCCACCCCACCUCUAGUUGUCGGAAUCUGAAAUGAAGCAAAUGCUCCUUCCACCAACCUGGCGUCUGUAUUGGCUUUUGAGUGGCGUGAAGCCAGACCCCACUUUCAACUAUAAAAAA
ensembl:lncRNA